rnacentral:rRNA from 1 species
CCCUUAGAUGUUCUGGGCCGCACGCGCGCUACACUGACGCAUUCAACGAGUCUCCUUGGCCGAGAGGCCUGGGUAAUCUUGUGAACGUGCGUCGUGAUAGGGAUAGAUUAUUGCAAUUAUUAAUCUUGAACGAGGAAUUCCUAGUAAACGCAGAUCAUCAAUCUGCAUUGAUUACGUCCCUGCCCUUUGUACACACCGCCCGUCGCACCUACCGAUUGGAUGGUCCGGUGAUGCCUCGGGAUUGUGGCCGGUGCAUUCAUUUGUGUCGGUUGCGAGAACUUGUCCAAACCUUAUCAUCUAGAGGAAGGUGAAGUCGUAACA